rnacentral:tRNA from 1 species
GCUGCCCUGGUGUAGUUGGUUAUCACGUCAGUCUAACACACUGAAGGGUAAGCGUUGCUCUGACCACAUACCAUCGAGAUUCAUCUAACCAAUAUCACAGUCGCCGGUUCAAGUCCGGCGGGCAGUA